UUCUCCUGUGACACACCUGGCCGGAGUCCGGCAGCCUGCCGGCGCCCUCCCGGCGGCGGGCCAGAGGCGCACCCCGCCGCCCCUACGCCUUUCCAGCCAGCAGAUCGCAAAACCGUGCCUCAACGCGCCAGCGCCGCCCUGCCCAAACCUCGGCCAAGCCCACUGGCCCCCCGCCGCGCCCCCGGCCCCGGCCCCGGCCAGGCCGCGACCCGCCAUUUCACGGCCGGCCGCCCAGCCCGGCGGGCAUCCAGCUCCCCACAAGCCGCCACACUGCAGAGACAGCCUGUCCUCCUGCUCAUGGACCUUCUCAGACACUCGCUGCUGGUUGCAUGCUGAGGUCUUUUCUCAUCCCCUUCUUUGAGGACUCCUGUCUGCAGAGCAGGAACUAUGUUUCUGAUGACUCAACACUCCACAGCUGUGGGCUCAGGAAU